UACGGGGGGGGCAAGCGUUGUUCGGAAUUACUGGGCGUAAAGCGCGCGUAGGCGGACCUGCAAGUCGGGGGUGAAAGCCCGAGGCUCAACCUCGGAACUGCCUUCGAUACUGCGGGUCUCGAGUCCGGGAGAGGUGAGUGGAAUUCCUAGUGUAGAGGUGAAAUUCGUAGAUAUCAGGAAGAACACCCGUGGCGAAGGCGGCUCUCUGGGACGGUACUGACGCUGAGACGCGAAAGCGUGGGGAGCGAACAGG
rnacentral:rRNA from 1 species